UGGGGAAUUUUGGACAAUGGGCGAAAGCCUGAUCCAGCAAUGCCGCGUGUGUGAAGAAGGCCUUCGGGUUGUAAAGCACUUUUGUCCGGAAAGAAAUCCUUGGCUCUAAUACAGUCGGGGGAUGACGGUACCGGAAGAAUAAGCACCGGCUAACUACGUGCCAGCAGCCGCGGUAAUACGUAGGGUGCAAGCGUUAAUCGGAAUUACUGGGCGUAAAGCGUGCGCAGGCGGUUUGCUAAGACCGAUGUGAAAUCCCCGGGCUCAACCUGGGAACUGCAUUGGUGACUGGCAGGCUAGAGUAUGGCAGAGGGGGGUAGAAUUCCACGUGUAGCAGUGAAAUGCGUAGAGAUGUGGAGGAAUACCGAUGGCGAAGGCAGCCCCCUGGGCCAAGUACUGACGCUCAUGCACGAAAGCGUGGGGGAGCAAAGCNGGAUUAAUNCCCCUGGUAGUCCACGCCCUAAANGAUGUCAACUAGUUGUUGGGGGAUUCAUUUUCCUUAGUAACGUAGCUAACGCGUGAAGUUGACCGCCUGGGGAGUACGGUCGCAAGAUUAAAACUCAAA
rnacentral:rRNA from 1 species